AUGGCCAUGUUACAUUGAAAUGCCGGUUCUCUUAUGAUCACCAAAGUUAAGCAACAUCAAGCCUGGUCAGUACUUAGAUGGGUGACCACUUGGAAAUACCAAGUUCUGUA